AUACGACAAUAUUUGACCAAGAUACAGCUAUUUGAAAAUGAAGUUUUGAUAUAUUUACGUUGUAGUUAAACUAAGACAUGUUGAGAGCUCCACCUACUGACCAAACAAGUCUUCCCUCAAGCAGUCAUGCAGUUACAGACAUGUUGAGAGCGCCAUCUACUGACCAAACAAGUCUUCCCUCAAGCGGUCAUGCAGUUACAGACAUGUUGAGAGCGCCAUCUACUGGUAAGUCAUACUGUUUUAUUUUUUUUAAGUUUCUUUGAUUUAUUUUAAUGUAUUUUUAUGUUUCGGUAGAUGGUUUGGCCUCUGUAUUGUUUUGAUAAGA